UACGUAGGCAGCGAGCGUUGUUCGGAGUUACUGGGCGUAAAGGGUGCGUAGGCGGCCUGACAAGUCUGAUGUGAAAUCCCUGGGCUCAACCCAGGGCCUGCAUCGGAAACUGUCGGGCUUGAGUAUGGGAGAGGUGAGUGGAAUUUCCGGUGUAGCGGUGAAAUGCGUAGAUAUCGGAAGGAACACCUGUGGCGAAAGCGGCUCACUGGACCAUUACUGACGCUGAGGCACGAAAGCUAGGGGAGCA
rnacentral:rRNA from 1 species